CACGUAGGGGGCGAGCGUUGUCCGGAAUUACUGGGCGUAAAGCGUGCGCAGGCGGUUCGCCAAGUCAGGUGUGAAAUCCCCGGGCUUAACCUGGGAAUUGCGCUUGAAACUAGCGGGCUUGAGUGUGGCAGAGGGGGGUGGAAUUCCACGUGUAGCAGUGAAAUGCGUAGAGAUGUGGAGGAACACCGAUGGCGAAGGCAGCCCCCUGGGUCAACACUGACGCUCAUGCACGAAAGCGUGGGGAGCAAACAGG
rnacentral:rRNA from 1 species